UGGGGAAUAUUGGACAAUGGGCGGAAGCCUGAUCCAGCCAUGCCGCGUGUGUGAAGAAGGCCUUUUGGUUGUAAAGCACUUUAAGCGAGGAGGAGGCUACUUGGAUUAAUACUCUAGGAUAGUGGACGUUACUUGCAGAAUAAGCACCGGCUAACUCUGUGCCAGCAGCCGCGGUAAUACAGAGGGUGCGAGCGUUAAUCGGAUUUACUGGGCGUAAAGCGUGCGUAGGCGGCUUCUUAAGUCGGAUGUGAAAUCCCUGGGCUUAACUUAGGAAUUGCAUUCGAUACUGGGAAGCUAGAGUAUGGGAGAGGAUGGUAGAAUUCCAGGUGUAGCGGUGAAAUGCGUAGAGAUCUGGAGGAAUACCGAUGGCGAAGGCAGCCAUCUGGCCUAAUACUGACGCUGAGGUACGAAAGCAUGGGGAGCAAACAGG
rnacentral:rRNA from 1 species